UACGUAGGUGGCUAGCGUUGUCCGGAUUUACUGGGCGUAAAGCGCGCGCAGGCGGUCGUUCAAGUCGAGUGUGAAAGCCCCCGGCUCAACUGGGGAGGGUCACUCGAUACUGAUCGACUUGAAGGCAGGAGAGGGAAGCGGAAUUCCCGGUGUAGUGGUGAAAUGCGUAGAUAUCGGGAGGAACACCAGUGGCGAAGGCGGCUUCCUGGCCUGUUCUUGACGCUGAGGCGCGAAAGCUAGGGGAGCAAACGGG
rnacentral:rRNA from 1 species